ensembl:lncRNA
CAGGAAGCAGUGAAGGGAUACUUCGUAGGAUUUGAUUGGAUUACCUCUAUUUCUUCCACAGAAAAAAACAUUUAACAACUUACAAAACCAUUUAAUGCUCAGUUGUAGACUAGAGGAGGGCAGCAUACAGGACAGGAGAAACAGACAGAAUAUGUACCUCUUUGAUACUUAUCUCACUUCCAGACAUAAAGCUUUCCUUUUUCUUUUCUUAAGUGUAAACAUGAAGUUAAAAGCUAGUAAAAAAUUAACAAAAGAAUCCUACAAAUGGACAUUUUAUAGGGUCUCAAGCAAAAAGGUUGUCACCUUGUGAAGAGCAAAAUCUCUCCCUACAUUUGGGAAUGCAACAGCUAUCAUAAUCACUGAAAACCUUCUGCAAUCUUCCUUGUAUUACAGGAUGAUUUUAUGUUCAGAAGUAUUAUGGAUGUUUAGAAAGCACUAUGGAAACUUUGAAAGUUUAUUCAUUAAUUCCUUCAUGACUACAGACUGCGAUACACAGGCAUCUCAAAUGGACACUCAACUUCACCCAUCAAGAGCACGGGGAGCCCAUCCGCCAGCCCCACUGCUCAAGGGAAGACUUCCCCAAAACAGCUACUGCAACGGGGCCCUGCAAGCCUGAACUUCAGAGCUGAGGAUAACUACAAAUCGGCGCCUCAGGCUCCCAGUUCACCGGUUUCACCAAGGAGUAUAACACAGGAGAAUGUCAGAAUAACUUUGAGGCAAGCCUUUGCAUUCAAGGACACAGCAGACACUGUGUUGAUGCAGCAGGCAGAACUUCCCAUGCAAUGGAGCUGUGCUGGUGCUGCCUGGGCACCAACUCCAACAAGCACCAGGGAUCCAGGGGCUAAGCAAAGCUGGUUUGGCAAAUCAAUGAAUGAGGAAGAACUUUCCACCUUAUCACACAAAGACUUAUCAUAAAGGUCUGGAAAGCCCAGUAUCAGAAUUAUUUUUUCAUUACCAUAUAUUUCCUCGAAACUUCUAUGUAGCAGCUUACAUUAAAAAAAAAAAAAAAAAAAAAAAAAAAAAAGGCAAAAUGUUGAAAGGUGUUUUCACACAGGGAAAAGCUUCCAGUACAAAAAUUUCCUAACUAGAGGAAGGAAGAAAAAGACGAAAAGUCUCUCAUCUUCCUGAAACUUCCCUUGAAAGCAACAGGAUUUUAAGGAUGGAAAGUGCAGCAAUCAUGAGUACGGAGGGUACGUGGCUCUUUUUAGACAGAGCUGUCUUUCUGGGAGUAAAGCUAAGUUUGCAGGACUGUAAGCAGAAAGCAGCUCUUUAACUUGCAGUACACAUGCUGAGUAUGCAGCCUGAUAGUGAUAGGCCAAGGAGGAAUGGAUUUAAAACAAAAGAGGGAAGAUUUAAGUUAGAUAUUAGGAGGAAAUUCUUGUCUGAGAGGGCAGUGAGGCGCUGGCACUGCUGCCCAGAGAGCUGUGGUGCCCCAUCUCUGGAGGUACUCAAGGCCGGGUUGGAUGGGGCCCUGGGCAGCCCGGGCUGGUGGGGGCAACCAACCAACGGCACAGGGACGGAACUGGAUGGGCUUUAAGGUCCCUUCUAACACAAGUCUUUCUAGGAUUCUAUGAUCAACACCUGGUUCUUACAAAAGGAGACUCCUUUGUGCUGUUUACCAGGCAGAUUUUCAGAUGAGAACUAUCCCAAUCACUUUUGUCCUCAUUAGUCUCUGCUACGCACAGCGUGCAACAGUCCCAGCCUGGGUGUCACUCAAGCUCCUCACUUUGGAGCAACCCUUUAGGCAUAAGCUUCACAUUAAUUUUUUUGCUGCCAUAUCAGAGGAAAUACAGAAACGCCAAUUGCCUUCUACCAGCUCUGGUAUAACUGAGAGCCCUCCUACUACAUAGGAAAAAAUAAUCUGUGUUUUGAAUUACUAUGUUUUACAGAUGUAUUAUCUUGCAUUUGUCAGGGUGACUCCUUUCGUUAUUUCCUGCCUCUCCUUUUUCAGCGGUGUUUGCAGUAUUCAUCCACAUCAUCUGCUAAUUUCAUUAGCAUAACUGUUUAAUGAUCUCGAAGGGGUUAGUUUAAAAUAUUAAAUAAAACCGGAUGUAAACUCCUCAUUCCUGCAGCAUCCCACCAACCCCCUCCCACUCAUCUCUGUACCCUACCAUUCAUCGAGACCUGUUUCUCAGGCUUCUGCAAGUCUUCUGUGAGAUUUCACACUGUGUUUGCAUGACAUGUCAUUAUCCCCACAAACUGCUGAAUCAUUGGUACUUAGUCGCUUAGUCUGUGGUUGCCACUGGUUUUCCACUGAUUGCUACACUGUGCCUUUGAGGACUGAAUUAGAUUUCUCUGUAUCUUGACAACAAUGACAGUUUUGACCCAGUUGAGUGCUGAAUUAAGCAAUGGAGGCAAGGCUAUAGACACUUUCUUGUUACAAAUUUGCUGGAGGAUACACCAAAGUCAAUAAAUUACAGCAGCACAUAUUAUGCUAGUGAGCUGGAAACUUCGUAUUUUCCCUAAAAUGUUUUCACAAUAAAUUUAUAUUUUUAUUAGUCAACAACUCAAUGACUUCAUUAGAAUACCUAUAAAGACGCAUUGCAUUAUUAUAUGAAUAACCAAGGUGGAAAAAGCUGUAACAGCUUAGAGUCAUCAUUGAUAACAUUGCUUGAGGACGCUAUUUCGAAGAUGCUGACCUCUUUAUUUAGAAGAUUCCUGAUGUUAGCCUCUGCUUAGUCAGGUAAUUUCAGUUGAAGGGCCAGUUGCAAGCUACACACAAAUUUCAUCACAGAGCAGCAACCUUGCUGAUGCCUCAAGUCGUAGUGUUAGAAUACCAGAAGUUUGUUUUUUAGCUUUUAUUAGAAUCAUAUGUGAACUCCCAAUCUUUAUGCCUACUGUGGGAGCCCUUUUCUUGCAUAAACACUGUGAACUUUGAUUGCACUGCAUUAGAGAUGCCAUCAAGUAACAAAGGAAGCAAACUAAACAGAAAAAUAUACACCCAGGCAGCAGAAAAAGGCUGUACUAAUGCCUACAGUUUUACGUGGGCCAAGGAAGGAUGCCAAUAAUAUAGAGCCAGAAAAGUAGAGAGUAUUAUUACAGGAAAAAAAUCUCCAUAGCAGUACAAUUAAAAUUGUCUUAGGCACAGUUCCUAGUAGGUGUCCCUCUCACUCAUCUGCUGUCCCUUUUAUGAUGCACAAGAUGAUAGCUACAGUCUGAGGGGCAGUGGAGGAAAUAUCAUGUUGCAGGAAGCUGUAAGAACCCCUAGCUCUUUUCCAGGAGAUCAGUGUAUCACUGACGACAGUUGCUGCCUCACUCUACAGUAUACAUAGGAUUAUUUUUUACAUUUUGCAAGACACACUAAUCUUUUUCUUUUCGUUUGUUUCUCUACAGUUCUAUGUUACUGCCAGAUAUACUUCAUAUGGCCUGUUUUGUAUGUUAGACACUUGAUUUCUUUCCCUUUGUUAUGCUUAAAACCUGCACACCCCACUCCCAAGUUAGGUUCCUCUGUAUUACCAAUAACUGACUACUGGUGGGUGUAGCCAUAUAUCCACACAGCCUCUGCCAUCACCCCAUGUCUGCACUUUGCUAUGUUGCAUAGUAAUUCCUGCAUCAAUAGCUCAUUCAGCACAGAAUAACCAUUUGUGAUCACUAUCUACCAGUUACAAAGCUACAAAUUUCUGAAUGUCAUCUCCAAGCAAUUGGAAGAGAAGAAGUUUAUCAGAAGUAGUUAACAUGGAUUGACUAAGGAGAAAUCAAGCUGGUAACCUUCUAUGGUAUCAUCACCAGCUGGUUUAGAUGUGGGGAGAACAGUGGAUGUUGUGUACCUUGACUUCAGCAAGGCGUUUGACAGUGUCUCCCACAACAUCUUUGUAAUGAAGCUUAGAAAUUGUGGGAUAGAUGAAUGGGUGGAGAGAUGGACUGAGAACUGGCUGACCUUCAAGCUAAGCGUUAUGUACUCACCUACAUUCUUAAGCCACAGUAUUUGACUCUAGAGGGAAUGUAAAGUCAGCCACAAUGUAAUUCCUGUGAUCUUGACAAGCAUUAGUAUUGGGCUGGAAGAAUAAGACAAAAAUGAUUAUUUUUAAGUAAAAAUUUCUGGAGGCCAAUGGUAGAACCGAUGGUGAAGAGGAAAGCCAUACAAGAAACACUGCUGCUUCAAUUAUGCUUGAAACUUGAUCAUAUUUAGGGAACUCAGUGCGUGGGCAACGCAAUCACCACUGGCAAGGCAUCAACAGAUGUUAUGGCAGUAUCACAGCUUUCAGCAGUGUGAAUUUUGUAAUUCAGUCCUGGAGUGGUAAAUCAUCAGAUGUAUACUCAUAGGUGUAUGGUUAGCCCUACUACUAAUUCAUCAUAAAAAUAAGAUCAUAUAGAAGAUCUUAUUUUUAAUUACAGAAGGACAAUUAAAGGAAGUGAGAAUUCAAGAUCAAAGCACCUAACUGGGACAUGCUGGAAAUAUGUUCAGAAUGUGGAGUACUGAAAUGCUAGGCACAAGGAUGUGCUGAGGUCUCCCACAUCAAACACUGCUCAUGUCAGAAGGAUUCCGGCUGGACACAAAGGGACAAAGACAAUAAAGAAAUCCUUAAAGCAAAGACAUGAGGGAAAUUUCUAGGAAAGUCAGCUAUUUUUCCAAACAUUUCUGAGCAGAUUUAUUAGAAGCUUAUGGACCCUUAGGAAAAUUACUGAAGAAAAGCAUUAUUAAGAAAAACAUUUCCUUCUCAUACAUAUGGGAAACCUUAUGGAUCUGCCACUAACCAGCAAUUUCAGUUCUUCAGCUGAAUGAGGAGAGAACACAUUAGUUAUAUUCCCCUGACAACUGGAAGCUGUAAAAAGCUGCAGGCACUUGGGGAUCAAGAGAAAAUUCAAAACAAACUUAACGAUAUGGAGAUAUAUUCUGAGGAAAUACAAUUAAACUUUGUACAAAGGACGAAAUGCAAUACUUAAGAAUCAUAUGUAGAUGCUAGACUGGCUGGACAGCAACCCUGUAGAAGAGGUUCUAGAGUCUGGGGAAGGAUUACGAACUGAACACAGAUCAGUAAUGCCAAGCUGCAGAGGAAUAUGUAAUGAGACAUGCAAACAUUUUUCCUGUUUACUCAGCUGUUCUAAUAAAGUAGCUGUAUCUAAAAUACUGAAUAUGUGGUGAGCAAUACAUUUCAAGAAGCAUGUGGACAAUCUGAACAAGGCAGAGAAAAGCAAGGAAAUGGUAUGUCAGAAAACAUACAUUGAAGGAAAGCUACAAAAGUAAGA